rnacentral:rRNA from 1 species
UACAGAGGUCCCAAGCGUUGUUCGGAUUCAUUGGGCGUAAAGGGUGCGUAGGCGGCGCGGUGAGUCGGGUGUGAAAUCUCGGAGCUUAACUCUGAAACUGCAUUCGAUACUGCCGUGCUUGAGGACUGGAGAGGAGACUGGAAUUUACGGUGUAGCGGUGAAAUGCGUAGAUAUCGUAAGGAAGACCAGUGGCGAAGGCGGGUCUCUGGACAGUUCCUGACACUGAGACACGAAGGCCAGGGGAGCAAACGGG